UACAGAGGUCUCAAGCGUUGUUCGGAUUCAUUGGGCGUAAAGGGUGUGUAGGUGGCGCGCUAAGUCGGGUGUGAAAUUUCGGAGCUUAACUCCGAAACUGCAUUCGAUACUGCGGUGCUUGAGGACUGGAGAGGAGACUGGAAUUCAUGGUGUAGCAGUGAAAUGCGUAGAUAUCGUAAGGAAGACCAGUGGCGAAGGCGGGUCUCUGGACAGUUCCUGACGCUGAGGCGCGAAGGCCAGGGGAGCAAACGGG
rnacentral:rRNA from 1 species